rnacentral:rRNA from 1 species
UACGGAGGGUGCAAGCGUUAUCCGGAUUUACUGGGUUUAAAGGGUGCGUAGGCGGUUCUAUAAGUCAGUGGUGAAAUACGGCAGCUCAACUGUCGAGGUGCCAUUGAUACUGUAGAACUUGAGUACAGACGAGGUAGGCGGAAUUGACGGUGUAGCGGUGAAAUGCUUAGAUAUCGUCAAGAACACCGAUAGCGAAGGCAGCUUACUAGACUGUAACUGACGCUGAGGCACGAAAGUGUGGGGAUCAAACAGG